CAUUGACACUGAGCAGGAAAGUCAGGAACAGUUUGCCUUCACGUGGGAGGGACGGCAAUGGACUUUCACCAUCCUCCCACAGGGAUACCUCCACAGCCCCACCAUCUGCCAUGGACUUGUAGCCCAGGACUUGGCUACUGCUGUACCAUUAUAUUGAUAAUGUCAUGCUCACAUACGAAAAUCUAGAAGGUGCAGCACCUAGACUGCUGCAACAUUUACAGGAGAAAGGAUGGGCUGUGAACAGCACCAAGGUUCAGGAACUUGGUUUGUCUGUUAAAUUCUUGGGGGUCAUCUGGUUGGGUAAGACCAAAGUUAUACCAGAAGCAGUUAUAGACAAAGUCCAGGCCUUUCCUACCCCUACAACUGUAACAUUGCUACAGGAAUUUCUGGGUCUUCUAGGCUACUGGAGUGUGUUUAUACCGCACUUGGCGCAAAUUCUGAAGCCCUUAUACCGGUUGGUACGAAAGGGCGUCAGGUGGGACUGGGAUGAGAAAUGUGCAUCUGCCUUUACUACAGCAGAACAGGCAGUCAGGGCCAUGCAGGCCUUGAGUGUGAUAGACCCAUCAAGGCCCUGUGAGUUGGAUGUUCAUGUCAGUGAAGAUGGUUAUGGCUGGGGUCUCUGGCAGUGGCUUGAAUGAACUCACCAACCUGUUGGAUUCUGGUCACAACUCUGGAAAGGGACAGAGGUUGUUUGAUUGAAAAACAACUGGCUGCUGUGUAUCACGCCUUGCUGGCUACAGAACCCAUCACCGGAAUGGCCCCGAUAAAGUGAAUUGGAAUGACUUCUGGGCACCUGUGGAUAUACCCAGCAAUCAGGAUGCUGCCCCUGCCCCUGCCCCAACCCUACCAGGGUCCUGGGCACGGGUCCUCUGCUGGAGAGCUUCAAGUACUUGCCUAUCCACAGGCUGAAACAGUUACCCAGCUGGAGGAAGGAUUCCCUUGGUCUGUAUUCCUUGACUCCAAUAUUUGUGGUUUAGUAAGAAGUCCCAAGAUCAGAGCACCCAUUCCAUGACCCUGAAGCAUAAGACGGGCCCAAGGAACAUUAACCUGACUGAUGUUAGACUGCAAGCCAAGUGUGCUGAAUUACACAUGCAGGGAGAGUCCAGUGAAGCCUAACAGGUAAGGGCAGGACUGCCUGGGUUAGAAUCUUAGCUCCUCAGUUGUGUAACAUUGGUCAAAUCACCUGACCUCUACUAUGACCUUGUUCCAUUUUCUCUGAAGUGGUGUCCAGCCUCAGGGCUGGGAUGAGUCAGCACAUGUACAGAGUGAUAGCAGUGUGUCUGACACAUAAUGAAGAGUCAGAAAGGUUGUUCAAGUUCCCCUCCUUGUAAAAUGAAAGAGUUGGACCAUCUGAGGUCUCAAUGUUAUACUGUAGGUCAGAUGCCGCCUGUGAGAGUUUUGUUUCACUUACGGGUUUUUUUUGAAGGCAAAUUAAAAUGCCCUUAGAUAAGGCUGAAAAGUUUCCCAUAGUCUCCAUCAGUCCCCGUUGAUGGCAUGUAGUCUUUUGUUUGUGUAUAUGUAGUCACCUGGAUGGCCUCUGCUAGCAUUUGUAUUUUUUGUUAUCUGGUGAUGGUCUCUAAGGCCCUUUCCAGGCCUACAUUUCUGUCCAACUCUAUCAAAAAGUGUCCCGUGCUAUGAAUACCCCUUGUGAUGAAAUGGAACCUCAUUUCUCCAUGCCAGCCUUUCUCUUCAUCCUUAGGCGGAAUACAGGUUUCUGGCUUUUCUCAUAUUACCCAAAGCACUGCACCCCAUCCCCACCCUGAACGCCACUUCCCAUCCACUUUCCCAGCUUGCUGCCCAGAGGCACCACCUGGACACGGGAGAUGUCCAUGGUCUUAUGAGCCUCUAAACCUUCCUCUCUGCCUGGCUAUCAGCUAUGCUGAAAGAACAACAUGUUAAAAAAAAACAAAAAAAAACAAAAAACUUUUUAAAUGGGAAAAUUUUCCUCUUUAAAUUAGCCCAGUGUCCAAAAAACCAAAACAAUGAGGCCUGGCUUUGUAGGUAGAUUAAUUUAGCCAGUUGGGCCUGGGACAUUCUGAAAACCAUCCUUUAGGGCAGUAGAAGAGUUACUGCAUCAGUCCUUGAGUACAGGAGGAUGUGGCCCACUGUGACCAGGAAAAGGCACACAUUUGAAGUACAAGCAUCUCUGGCUGGGUUUGUCUACAUAGAUGUGUUUUUAUACACUUAAAAGAUAGAAACUUAAUAUUGAUUGUUUAGUGUUUAAGUUAGAAGUGGUUGUGUUUUGCUGGCUGUGCAAAAUAAUAAACUUGGUCCCUGGUGACUUGAUUAUUUCACCACAAAUGAGCUACUUUUCAUGGCUCAGUGCCUGAGUCUGGCAGAGUUGGUGGGGGAACAGCAAGGUCCUGUGGUGGUAAUAAAGUUUCUCUUGGGGAUUUUACAUUGGGUUUCUCCUGGCUCAUAGUUGCUGGGCAGCUGAGUCUCAGGAGGUCUCUCCCUGUGCACUCAGUGAGACCUCGACCUCGGGGAAGAGGGUUCUUCACUCUGAAUGAGAAAGAAUUAUUGAACAGGUCGGGCAAAUGUAGGCAAGGAAGGAAUUCAUUAAAGAGAGUAGCAGCAAAUGGCAGGAGCUGUGCAGGCAGCAGAGAACAAGGAAGACCUGAGGGAGAAAAGGGAAGGUUAUUGAACUGCUCAGCAUAGGGCAGAUGCCUUGCCAACUCCUGAAGGUCACUUGGCGUCUAGUGUCCACUUGAAUUUGCAUGCUGUGGGAACUAAGCCCCUACCACCCAGGAUUGAGGGAGCCACAGAGCACUGGAUGGUGUGAGAUUAUGUUCUGAGAACUUUCCAAAGGCAAGGAAAGGAGGUUUUGGGGCAGGCUACUAAAGAGAGCAUGAUCCUGCAGCUGCAGUCCUGUCUGGGUCAUCCAGGCAAUGGGAUCUUGCAAGCCCAAAUGAGAGAUCUCAGUAGCCUUUCCUUACUUUUCUGAAGUAGGACAGAGAGAGUGAAGACUUGUACUUAAGUCUAGAAAAUUGAAUGAAAUAGUGAAGUAACAAAGACGGUUUCCACUGGAAGAGCGCAGGGACAAAACAGUAAGUUGAGCAGUGAGAAGUCUUUAUUCAAGGCCAAGUACACGCUCAAAGAAAGGGGAGUGCAGGCAACCUCAGAGAGGAGGUGCACUUAAGGGGUUAGGAUUCUGUCUUUUAAAGUUUUCAAGAAUGGGGCAAAGGUGGGGGAAGCUUGGGCUUGACGUGUGGUCCUUGUGAUGUCUAUCUCUGGUGAAAGAAAUUAUGUCACCAUCCAUAGUCUGUCCUCUAGAUAUUCUGUCAGAUAAACUUAACACAAAGAUUUUCUUGAUCCUGUUUGUUUCCAAGAUGGUGGUUACCCUCAAACAGUGGUGACAUAUCAUUUAGGACUACUUGCCCUGCCUUAAGAUAGGGUUGGUUGUCAGCUGAUUACCAUAAAAUAUGUUAGGAAUCUUAAUUCCUAACUCCUUGGUUUUUAAAAUGGGAUCUUAGCCUUUAGAUGGAGUCCCUCCUGUUCUUUUUUUUAAAUUAAGGUAUUAUUGAUAUACACUCUUAUGAAGGCUUCACAUGAAAAAACAAUGUGGUUACUACAUUUGCCCAUAUUACCAAGUCCCUACCCUUACCCCAAUGCAGUCGCUGUCCAUCAGUGUAGUAAGAUGCCACAGAUUCAUUAUUUGCCUUCUCUGUGCUACACUGUCUUCCCUAUGACCCCUCACAUCAUGUGUACUAAACAUAAUACCCCUCAAUCACCGUCUCCCUUCCUCCCCAAUCCUCCCCUUUGGUAACCACUAGUCCCCUCUAGGAGUCUGUGAGUCUGCUGCUGUUUUGUUCCUUCAGUUUUGCUUUGUUGUUAUACUCCACAAAUGAGGGAAAUCAUUUGGCACUUGUCCUCCUCCACCUGGCUUAUUUCAGUGAGCAUAAUAUCCUCCAGCUCCAUCCAUGUUUUUGCAAAUGGUAGGAUUUGUUUCUUAUGGCUGAAUAGUUUUCCAUUGUAUAUAUGUACCACAUCAUCUUUAUCCAUUCAUCUACUGAUGGACACUUAGGUUGCUUCCACUUCUUGGCUAUUGUAAGUAGUGCUGCGAUAAACAAAGGGGUGCAUCUGUCUUUUUGAGUCUGAGAAGUUGUAUUCUUUGGGUAAAUUCCAAGGAUUGGGAUUCCUGGGUCAAAUUGUAUUUCUAUUUUUAGUAUUUUGAGGAACCUCCAUAUUGCUUUCCACAAUGGUUGAACUAGCUUACAUCCCCACCAGCAGUGUAGAGGGUUUCCCUUUGUCCUCAUCCUCACCAGCAUUUAUUGUUCUUAGUUUUUUUGAUGCUGGCCAUCGUUACUGGUGUGAGGUGAUAUCUAAUUGUGGUUUUAAAUUGCAUUUCCCUUAUGAUUAGUGAUGUGGAACAUCUUUUCAUGAGUCUGUUGGCCAUCUGAAUUUCUUCUUUGGAGAACUGUCUCUUCAUAUCCUCCGCCCAUUUGUUAAUUGGGUUGUUUGA